rnacentral:tRNA from 68 species
GGCGCGAUAGCAAAGCGGUUAUGCCCCGGAUUGCAAAUCCGGUUAGACCAGUUCGACUCUGGUUCGCGCCUCCA